CCUACGGGAGGCAGCAGUGAGGAAUAUUGGUCAAUGGACGAGAGUCUGAACCAGCCAAGUAGCGUGAAGGAUGACUGCCCUAUGGGUUGUAAACUUCUUUUAUAUGGGAAUAAAAUGUUCCCCGUGUGGGAUUUUGUAUGUACCAUAUGAAUAAGGAUCGGCUAACUCCGUGCCAGCAGCCGCGGUAAUACGGAGGAUCCGAGCGUUAUCCGGAUUUAUUGGGUUUAAAGGGAGCGUAGGUGGAUUGUUAAGUCAGUUGUGAAAGUUUGCGGCGCAACCGUAAAAUUGCAGUUGAAACUGGCAGUCUUGAGUACAGUAGAGGUGGGCGGAAUUCGUGGUGUAGCGGUGAAAUGCUUAGAUAUCACGAAGAACUCCGAUUGCGAAGGCAGUUCACUGGACUGCAACUGACACUGAGGCUCGAAAGUGUGGGUAUCAAACAGGAUUAGAUACCCCUGUAGUC
rnacentral:rRNA from 1 species